UAAGAUUUUAAGUUAAAAAAACUCAAUACCUUCAAAGUAUUAAUUAUCUUAAAGAUAAGUCUUAG
rnacentral:tRNA from 1 species